rnacentral:rRNA from 1 species
AGUGAACGCUGGCGGUAGGCCUAACACAUGCAAGUCGAACGGCAGCACAGUAAGAGCUUGCUCUUACGGGUUGCGAGUGGCGGACGGGUGAGGAAUACAUCGGAAUCUACUUUUUCGUGGGUGAUAACGUAGGGAAACUUACGCUAAUACCGCAUACGACCUACGGGUGAAAGCAGGGGAUCUUCGGACCUUGCGCGAUUGAAUGAGCCGAUGUCGGAUUAGCUAGUUGGCGGGGUAAGGGCCCACCAAGGCGACGAUCCGUAGCUGGUCUGAGAGGAUGAUCAGCCACACUGGAACUGAGACACGGUCCAGACUCCUACGGGAGGCAGCAGUGGGGAAUAUUGGACAAUGGGCGCAAGCCUGAUCCAGCCAUACCGCGUGGGUGAAGAAGGCCUUCGGGUUGUAAAGCCCUUUUGUUGGGAAAGAAAAGCAGCAGGUUAAUACCCCGCUGUUCUGACGGUACCCAAAGAAUAAGCACCGGCUAACUUCGUG